rnacentral:RNase_P_RNA from 2 species
CAAGCAAGCCGGGUGGCCGCCGUUUCGGGGCAUGCCUGCCCUGAGAGGGAGGAAAGUCCGGGCUCCAUCGGGCGAGGUGCUGGGUAACGCCCAGGAGGGGCGACCCUACGGACAGUGCCACAGAAACACACCGCCACGGCCUGGCCAUGGUAAGGGUGAAAUGGUGAGGCAAGAGCUCACCAGCGGUUGAGUGAUCAGCCGGCUAGGCAAACCCCACCUGGAGCAAGACCAAAUAGGAGGACCACAAGGAUGCCCGUCCAGUGUCCUCGGGUUGGUCGCUCGACCCUGUCGGUAACGCCAGGGCUAGAUAGAUGGCCACCAGCUUGACCAGUAAUGGUCCGGCUACAGAACCCGGCUUACAGGCUUACUUGGUCC